GAUGAAGAACGUAGCGAAAUGCGAUAAGUAAUGUGAAUUGCAGAAUUCAGUGAAUCAUCGAAUCUUUGAACGCACAUUGCGCCCCUUGGUAUUCCGGGGGGCAUGCCUGUUCGAGCGUCAUUUCAACCCUCAAGCUCAGCUUGGUAUUGAGUCCAUGUCAGUAAUAGCAGGCUCUAAAAUCAGUGGCGGCGCCGCUGGGUCCUGAACGUAGUAAUAUCUCUCGUUACAGGUUCUCGGUGUGCUUCUGCCAAAACCCAAAUUUUCUAUGGUUGACCUCGGAUCAGGUAGGGAUACCCGCUGAACUUAAGCAUAUCAAUAAGCGGAGGA
rnacentral:misc_RNA from 1 species